rnacentral:rRNA from 1 species
CCUGGUUGAUCUUGCCAGUAGUCAUAUGCUUGUCUCACAGAUUAAGCCAUGCAAGUGAAAGUACAUAUGUAAAUAAUAUAUUGAAACUGCGAACGGCUCAUUAAAACAGUUAUAAUCUACUUGAUGUUUUUAAUAUAAGGAUAACUACGGAAAAUCUGUAGCUAAUACUUGUGAAAAUACCUUUUGAUAUAUACAUAUGUAUGUAUCAUUAAGGUAUGUAUUUGUUAGAUAUAAGAAUAAAAUAAAUAUAAUUGAAUUAUAACAAAGAAGAAACACAUAAAAUAUGUGUAUUAUCAAUCGAGUAUCUGACCUAUCAGCUUUUGAUGUUAGGGUAUUGACCUAACAUGGCUAUGACGGGUAACGGGGAAUUAGAGUUCGAUUCCGGAGAGGGAGCCUGAGAAAUAGCUACCACAUCUAAGGAAGGCAGCAGGCGCGUAAAUUACCCAAUUCUAAAAAAGAGAGGUAGUGACAAGAAAUAACAAUACAAUAUCGAAAAAUGAUUUUGUAAUUGGAAUGAUAGGAAUUUACAAGGUUCCUAGAGAAACAAUUGGAGGGCAAGUCUGGUGCCAGCAGCCGCGGUAAUUCCAGCUCCAAUAGCAUAUAUUAAAAUUGUUGCAGUUAAAACGUUCGUAGUUGAAUAUUAAAGAAUCCGAUGUUUCAUUUAAACUGGUUUGGGAAAACCAAAUAUAUUAUAUAUUUUGCUUUGUUCAAAAUAAGGUUUUCUAAUAAAUUAUGUUUUUAUCAGAUAUGACAGAAUCUUUUUUAAAAUCUCUUCAAUAUGCUUUUAUUGCUUUUGAGAGGUUUUGUUACUUUGAGUAAAAUUAAGUGUUCAUAACAGACGGGUAGUCAUGAUUGAGUUCAUUGUGUUUGAAUACUACAGCAUGGAAUAACAAAUAUGAAUAAGCUAAUUAUUUUUUUUUUUCAUAAUUUUUUUUGAUAUUCUUAUUAGCUUAGUUACGAUUAAUAGGAGUAGCUUUGGGGGCAUUCGUAUUCAGAUGUCAGAGGUGAAAUUCUAAGAUUUUCUGGAGACGGACUACUGCGAAAGCAUUUGCCUAAUCUAUUUCCAUUAAUCAAGAACGAAAGUUAAGGGAGUGAAGACGAUCAGAUACCGUCGUAAUCUUAACCAUAAACUAUACCGACUAGGUGUUGGAUGAAUAUAAAAAAUAUAUAAAUAUGUAGCAUUUCUUAGGGAAUGUUGAUUUUAUAUUAGAAUUGCUUCCUUCAGUACCUUAUGAGAAAUCAAAGUCUUUGGGUUCUGGGGCGAGUAUUCGCGCAAGCGAGAAAGUUAAAAGAAUUGACGGAAGGGCACCACCAGGCGUGGAGCUUGCGGCUUAAUUUGACUCAACACGGGAAAACUCACUAGUUUAAGACAAGAGUAGGAUUGACAGAUUAAUAGCUCUUUCUUGAUUUCUUGGAUGGUGAUGCAUGGCCGUUUUUAGUUCGUGAAUAUGAUUUGUCUGGUUAAUUCCGAUAACGAACGAGAUCUUAACCUGCUAAUUAGCGGUAAGUACACUAUAUUUUUAUUUGAAAUUGAAUAUAGGUAAUUAUACAUGUUUAUUCAGUGUUCAAAUUAGGAUAUUUUUUUAUUAAAAUAUUCUUUUCCCUGUUCUACUAAUAAUUUGUUUUUUUUUACUCUAUUUCUCUCUUCUUUUAAGAAUGUACUUGUUUGAUUAAAUAAAGCUUCUUAGAGGAACAGUGUGUAUCUAACACAAGGAAGUUUAAGGCAACAACAGGUCUGUGAUGUCCUUAGAUAAACUAGGCUGCACGCGUGCUACAAUGAUAUAUAUAACAAGUUGUUAAAAAUGUACUUAUAAAUAAGUGUGUACAGUUUUUCCUGUACUGAAAAGUAUAGGUAAUCUUUAUCAGUAUAUAUCGUAAUUGGGAUAGAUUAUUGCAAUUAUUAAUCUUGAACGAGGAAUGCCUAGUAAGCAUGAUUCAUUAGAUUGUGCUGACUACGUCCCUGCCCUUUGUACACACCGCCCGUCGCUCCUACCGAUUGAAAGAUAUGAUAAAUUGUUUGGAUAUGAAUUAAAAUAAUGAAAUUUUAUAUUUCUGAUUUUUUCUAGAAGAACUGUAAAUCCUAUCUUUUAAAGGAAGGAGAAGUCGUAACAAGGUUUCCGUAGGUGAACCUGCGGAAG